rnacentral:rRNA from 1 species
GAUGAACGCUGGCGGCGUGCCUAACACAUGCAAGUCGAGCGGUGAACCUGCUUUCGGGUGGGGGAUCAGCGGCGAACGGGUGAGUAACACGUGGGUAACCUACCUAUAAGACUGGGAUAACUUCGGGAAACCGGAGCUAAUACCGGAUAAUAUAUUGAGCCGCAUGGUUCAAUAGUGAAAGACGGUUUUGCUGUCACUUAUAGAUGGAUCCGCGCCGCAUUAGCUAGUUGGUAAGGUAACGGCUUACCAAGGCAACGAUGCGUAGCCGACCUGAGAGGGUGAUCGGCCACACUGGAACUGAGACACGGUCCAGACUCCUACGGGAGGCAGCAGUAGGGAAUCUUCCGCAAUGGGCGAAAGCCUGACGGAGCAACGCCGCGUGAGUGAUGAAGGUCUUCGGAUCGUAAAACUCUGUUAUUAGGGAAGAACAAAUGUGUAAGUAACUAUGCACGUCUUGACGGUACCCAAUCAGAAAGCCACGGCUAACUACGUGCCAGCAGCCGCAGUAAAAC